AUACACAACAGCCUAGAAAACAACCAGGCAAACUGUAUCUGUAAGGAAAGGGAGCAGCCAGAGGCUUCAUCCGAAAACAAGUCCUGUUUUCAGCGGACUUUGGCAGAGUUGAGAGAAGACUAACCUAUUGGCAAGCCUUGCCAGAAGAUGCUAAAUGAAAGGAAGAAAGAUGAGAAAACUGAGGCUGGGAGGAGUGAGCCACUUGCCCAAGCAAACACAGCUAACAAGCUCUAAGCACUGUGAGGACAGAGGUCCUGUUGGCCUCAUGCACCACUGUCUAGACCUGCACCCACUGUUCAGAAUGGCAGCCAUGAGCCACGUGUGGCAACUGGGUACUCAAGUGAGGCAGCCGUGAAUUGAGAUGUGCUAUGAAAGUAAAAUACACCUGGAUUUCAGAAACUUCAAAUGAAAACGAUAAUGUAAAAUGUAUUGUGAUAUUUUGGAUAUAUUGG
rnacentral:lncRNA from 10 species